AGUCCUAUGCUUGUCUCAAAGAUUAAGCCAUGCAUGUGUCAGUACAAACCAAUAUAAGGUGAAACCGCGAAUGGCUCAUUAAAUCAGCUAUGUUUCAUUGGAUCUGUACCCCCCAUUUACUUGGACAACUGUGGUAAUUCUAGAGCUAAUACAUGCACACAUAGUCCCUGACCGUGAGGGAAGGGCGCUUUUAUUAGUUCAAAACCGGUCGGGCCUCGGUCCGUAAACCCACCCUGUGAUGACUCUGAAUAACUUUUGGCUGAGCGCACGGUCUCCGUACUGGCGCCGCAUCUUUCAAGUGUCUGCCUUAUCAGCUUUCGAUUGUAGGUUAUGCGCCUACAAUGGCUAUAACGGGUAACGGGGAAUCAGGGUUCGAUUCCGGAGAGGGAGCCUGAGAAACGGCUACCACAUCUAAGGAAGGCAGCAGGCACGCAAAUUACCCACUCCCGGCACGGGGAGGUAGUGACGAAAAAUAACGAUGCGAGACUCAUCCGAGGCCUCGCAAUCGGAAUGAGUACACUUUAAAUCCUUUAACGAGGACCCAUUGGAGGGCAAGUCUGGUGCCAGCAGCCGCGGUAAUUCCAGCUCCAAUAGCGUAUAUUAAAGUUGUUGCGGUUAAAAAGCUCGUAGUUGGACUUAAGUUCUGGACUGACGGUUCACCGCCCGGUGCUUACUGUCACGCUCCGAACCGCUCAUUAAUUUGAGCCCUGCCGGCUUGCACGGGGUGCUCUUCACCGAGUGUCCCGAGUGGCCGGCAUGUUUACUUUGAAAAAAUUAGAGUGCUUAAAGCAGGCUACUUGUAUGGCCUGAAUGUCUAUGCAUGGAAUAAUGGAAUAGGACCUCGGUUCUAUUUUGUCGGUUUUCCUUAUCGGAACCCGAGGUAAUGACUAAUCGAGACAGGCGGGGGCAUUCGUACUGCGACGCUAGAGGUGAAAUUCUUGGACCGUCGCAAGACGAACUACUGCGAAAGCAUUUGCCAAGGAUGUUUUCAUUAAUCAAGAACGAAAGUUAGAGGUUCGAAGGCGAUCAGAUACCGCCCUAGUUCUAACCAUAAACGAUGCUAACUAGCGAUCCGCCGGCGUUAUUCCCAUGACCCGGCGGGCAGCUUCCGGGAAACCAAAGUCUUUGAGUUCCGGGGGAAGUAUGGUUGCAAAGCUGAAACUUAAAGGAAUUGACGGAAGGGCACCACCAGGAGUGGAGCCUGCGGCUUAAUUUGACUCAACACGGGGAACCUCACCAGGCCCGGACACCGGAAGGAUUGACAGAUUGAGAGCUCUUUCUCGAUUCGGUGGGUGGUGGUGCAUGGCCGUUCUUGAGUUGGU
rnacentral:rRNA from 1 species